UACGGAGGGGCAAGCGUUGUUCGGAAUUACUGGGCGUAAAGGGCGCGACAGGCGGCUGCGUCAAGUCAGGCGUGAAAGGCCUGGGCUCCAACCCGGGAAUUGCGCUUGAGACUGGGUCGUGGCUUGAGUGCGGGAGAGGAUGGUGGAAUUCCCGGAGUGUAGAGGUGAAAUGCGCAGAGUAAUCAGGAGGAACACCGGUGGCGAAGGCGGUUCUCUGGGCACUGGUCCUGACGCUGAGGAGCGAAAGUGUGGGGAGCGAACAG
rnacentral:rRNA from 1 species